ACUCUCCUUAUACACUUGUGUAGUCUUUUUGGUGGCAUGAAAACAGAUGGGAUGACAUGAGAAAGACAUGGUAGUAAUUUGCUUUUUACCACUUUCCUUCCUAUACAAAGCCUUUGCUUCUGUUACAUAUGCAUAUGUUGAAAGAACUUGGGAGUCUAUAUAUGCUUCUUGUGGCUAACCAUAUUGUACCCUUCUGCUUUGCCAUUUGCUCUAGCAAAACCUAUUUUUGUAGAAAUUCAGGAGAGGGAGAUCUGUGCUAAACAGAUGAGCUUGCACUCUAACUUUACUUCAUAAGUUAACUUCAUAAAGAACAUUAACUCAAGCCUUGUUGAUCAGUGCAGCAUGGUCUGUGCCUUGAAAGCAGUAAUGAGGAAGUGAAGGGCACAGUCUUCCAAGAAUCAGACAACUUUCUUUUUACUCUGUGCCUUGAGGAAGAUCAAGCUAACAGUAUUUAAUAAUGUGACUCUGUCCUAAAGCCAUUCCAAGUAUAUUAGA